AGUGAACGCUGGCGGUAGGCCUAACACAUGCAAGUCGAACGGCAGCACAGUAGGAGCUUGCUCUUACGGGUGGCGAGUGGCGGACGGGUGAGGAAUACAUCGGAAUCUACUUUUUCGUGGGGGAUAACGUAGGGAAACUUACGCUAAUACCGCAUACGACCUACGGGUGAAAGCAGGGGAUCUUCGGACCUUGCGCGAUUGAAUGAGCCGAUGUCGGAUUAGCUAGUUGGCGGGGUAAAGGCCCACCAAGGCGACGAUCCGUAGCUGGUCUGAGAGGAUGAUCAGCCACACUGGAACUGAGACACGGUCCAGACUCCUACGGGAGGCAGCAGUGGGGAAUAUUGGACAAUGGGCGCAAGCCUGAUCCAGCCAUACCGCGUGGGUGAAGAAGGCCUUCGGGUUGUAAAGCCCUUUUGUUGGGAAAGAAAAGCAGCAGGUUAAUACCCCGCUGUUCCGACGGUACCCAAAGAAUAAGCACCGGCUAACUUCGUG
rnacentral:rRNA from 1 species